CUUGUACCUGUACCUCCUGUGGGAGACAAAGUCAAGCUCUCUGUGUCCUUCCCCACAGAGGACUAACCUGGAAACUCACCAUGAAAUUUAGGCUGAACUGGAUUUUCCUCCUGACCAUUUUCCAAGGUGUCCAGUGUGAUGUGCAGCUGGUGGAGUCUGGGGGAGAUGUAAUACAGCCUGGGGGAUCUCUGAGUCUCUCCUGCAAAGGUUCAGGAUUUACUUUCAGCAGCUACGACAUGAGCUGGGUCCGCCAGGCUUCAGGAAAGGGACUGGAAUGGGUUGCAUACAUUAGUAGUAGUAGUAGUUAUAAGUACUAUGCAGACUCUGUGAAAGGCCGAUUCACCAUCUCCAGAGAUAAUGGCAACAGCAUCUUAUAUUUACAAAUGACUUCCCUUGAGACUGAGGACACAGCUGUGUAUUACUGUGCAAGAGAUAGUAAUACUUACGUCAGACUUGGGAGCUCUGACAGCUAUCGCAUGAACUGGGUCUGCCAGUCUGCAGGAAAGGUGCCAGAGUGGGUGGCAGUUAUUUGGAAUGAUGGAAGAAUCACAUACUAUGCAGACUCUGUGAAAGGCCGAUUCACCAUCUCCAGGGACAACAGCAAAAACAUGCUGCACCUGCAAAUGAAUAUCCUUAAAGCUGAGGACACAGCCAUGUAUUAA